UUCCUUUCUGGAAAAACUACUUGUUGGUGGUGUUGUUCUUAUAUCAGUCAUGGGCAGAGCAGAUGACAAUCCCUUGUUCAUCCUAGCUUGAUGCCUGGUAUGGUGGCCAAAGCUGUUUUGUGCCUAGGACACCUAA
rnacentral:snoRNA from 1 species